UACGUAGGGUGCGAGCGUUAAUCGGAAUUACUGGGCGUAAAGCGUGCGCAGGCGGUUUUGUAAGCCAGAUGUGAAAUCCCCGGGCUUAACCUGGGAAUGGCAUUUGGGACUGCAAGGCUUGAGUGCGGCAGAGGAGACUGGAAUUCCUGGUGUAGCAGUGAAAUGCGUAGAUAUCGGCAGGAACACCAAGGGGGAACCCAGCCACCUGGGCAUCGGCUGACGCUGAGGGGCGACAGCGUGGGGAGCGAACCGG
rnacentral:rRNA from 1 species